rnacentral:rRNA from 1 species
UACGUAGGGUGCAAGCGUUAAUCGGAAUUACUGGGCGUAAAGCGUGCGCAGGCGGUUGUGCAAGACAGUUGUGAAAUCCCCGGGCUCAACCUGGGAACUGCAUCUGUGACUGCAUAGCUAGAGUACGGUAGAGGGGGAUGGAAUUCCGCGUGUAGCAGUGAAAUGCGUAGAUAUGCGGAGGAACACCGAUGGCGAAGGCAAUCCCCUGGACCUGUACUGACGCUCAUGCACGAAAGCGUGGGGAGCAAACAGG